GUGUGUGUGUGUGUGUGUGUGUGUGUGUGUGUGUGUGUGUGUGUGUGUGUGUGUGUGUGUGUGUGUGUGUGUGUGUAUCUAUGGCUCUAAGAAUAACUGUUGGUGCGGGAGCUCUGGGGUGAGUUCACUGCAGUGGUGAUGUCAUCGCUCACAGAGGUCUUGAUCGCGAUUGGUCCAGUCUGGUGUCGACAGGCCCCGGCAUAUGGUGGCAAGGCCUAUUCAUUGUCAGGAGCAGGCGAGUAGGAAGCCCCCCCCCCCAACACACACACACACACACACACAAAUCCAACAGUCACACAUGCUUGCACACAAACACACACAUAAAAGUCCACCCUCACCCCAAACACACUAACACACACAUAAAUCCAGAGCCACC
ensembl:lncRNA